AGCGUUGUUCGGAAAUACUGGGCGUAAAGCGCACGUAGGCGGCGCCGUAAGUCAGGGGUGAAAUCCCGGGGCUCAACCCCGGAACUGCCUUUGAAACUGCAGUGCUAGAAUCUUGGAGAGGUCAGUGGAAUUCCGAGUGUAG
rnacentral:rRNA from 1 species